UCAACAAACGGCGAUGGAGUUCGCCGUGCAAUUGCCUCAAUAGGGGUUUCGCCCCAGGCUGAUGACUCCUACCCAUGU
rnacentral:ncRNA from 6 species